rnacentral:rRNA from 1 species
GCAAGUCGAGGGGUAACAGGGAAGCUUGCUUCCGCUGACGACCGCCGCACGGGUGCUUAACUCUUAUACAACCUACCUUUUACAGACGAAUAGCCUUUAGAAAUGAAGAUUAAUACCUCAUAGUAUUGAGAAAUCGCAUGAUUACUUAAUUAAAGAUUUAUCGGUAAAAGAUGGCUAUGCGUCCUAUUAGCUAGAUGGUAAGGUAACGGCUUACCAUGGCAAUGAUAGGUAGGGGUCCUGAGAGGGAGAUC